UACAGUGGUCUCAAGCGUUGUUCGGAUUCAUUGGGCGUAAAGGGUGUGUAGGUGGCGCCGUAAGUCGGGUGUGAAAUUUCGGAGCUUAACUCCGAAACUGCAUUCGAUACUGCGGUGCUUGAGGACUGGAGAGGAGACUGGAAUUCAUGGUGUAGCAGUGAAAUGCGUAGAGAUCAUGAGGAAGACCAGUGGCGAAGGCGGGUCUCUGGACAGUUCCUGACACUGAGACACGAAGGCCAGGGGAGCAAACGGG
rnacentral:rRNA from 1 species